AUUGAACGCUGGCGGCAGGCCUAACACAUGCAAGUCGAGCGGAUGAAGGGAGCUUGCUCCUGGAUUCAGCGGCGGACGGGUGAGUAAUGCCUAGGAAUCUGCCUGGUAGUGGGGGAUAACGUCCGGAAACGGGCGCUAAUACCGCAUACGUCCUGAGGGAGAAAGUGGGGGAUCUUCGGACCUCACGCUAUCAGAUGAGCCUAGGUCGGAUUAGCUAGUUGGUGGGGUAAAGGCCUACCAAGGCGACGAUCCGUAACUGGUCUGAGAGGAUGAUCACUCACACUGGAACUGAGACACGGUCCAGACUCCUACGGGAGGCAGCAGUGGGGAAUAUUGGACAAUGGGCGAAAGCCUGAUCCAGCCAUGCCGCGUGUGUGAAGAAGGUCUUCGGAUUGUAAAGCACUUUAAGUUGGGAGGAAGGGCAGUAAGUUAAUACCUUGCUGUUUUGACGUUACCAACAGAAUAAGCACCGGCUAACUUCGUG
rnacentral:rRNA from 1 species